UCCCAUUCAGGAUCUAGAAUAAGCUUUGCAUGGAUUAGAUAGUUCAUUAAUGUUUAUCAAAGUUGGAAGUCAAAAGAGAAUUUGGAAGCUUUGAUCAUCAGGAAACAAGAUGGAGCUAAUUGACCCAAUGGAAGAGAAAAGCCACUUUUCUGUAAAAUUAUCCUGGUUCUCUGAAGACAAGUGUCAUGGAAAUGCUUUUGGAUAGGCAAAACCGC
rnacentral:lncRNA from 1 species